GAUGAAGAACGCAGCGAAAUGCAAUAAGUAAUGUGAAUUGCAGAAUUCAGUGAAUCAUCGAAUCUUUGAACGCACCUUGCACCCUUUGGACUGCUCCAAAGGGUAUGCUCGUUUGAGUGUCAUUGUACUCUCACACUCUCUGAUCCUUUGGAUUUGGGGAGCGGUGGACUUGGGUGCUUGCUGCUUCCUUGUGGCUCACCUGAAAUGCAUCAGUGCAUCUCUCGAUUGGACAUAGUACGGCGUGAUAAGUGUCUUCGCCGGCACCUCAUAUGAGGGUGGCCGAUCGGGAGCUCUGUGCUUUCAAACCGUCUUCGGACAACGCUGACAACUUGACCUCAAAUCGAGUAGGACUACCCGCUGAACUUAAGCAUAUCAAUAAGCGGAGGA
rnacentral:misc_RNA from 1 species